rnacentral:rRNA from 1 species
CGUAGGUGACCAGCGUUGUCCGGAUUUACUGGGCGUAAAGAGCGCGCAGGCGGUCGUUCAAGUCGAGUGUGAAAGCCCCCGGCUCAACUGGGGAGGGUCACUCGAUACUGAUCGACUUGAAGGCAGGAGAGGGAAGCGGAAUUCCCGGUGUAGUGGUGAAAUGCGUAGAUAUCGGGAGGAACACCAGUGGCGAAGGCGGCUUCCUGGCCUGUUCUUGACGCUGAGGCGCGAAAGCUAGGGGAGCAAACGGGAUUAGAUACCCCGGUAGUCCUAGCCGUAAACGAUGGACACUAGGUGUUGGUGGUAUCAACCCCACCAGUGCCGAAGCUAACGCAUUAAGUGUCCCGCCUGGGGAGUACGGCCGCAAGGCUA